GAAAUACUCCCUCCGUCCGGAAUUACUCGUCGCAGAAAUGUAUAAAAAUAGAUGUAUCUAGAACUAAAAUACAUCCAUUUCUCCGACAAGUAUUUCCGGAUGGAGGGAGUAUAUU
rnacentral:pre_miRNA from 1 species